rnacentral:rRNA from 1 species
UGAGCAAUCUGCCCUUCACAUCGGAAUAACCAUUGGAAACGAUGGCUAAUACCGAAUAUGACUUCGGAUCGCAUGAUCUGAAGUGGAAAGCUCCGGCGGUGAAGGAUGAGCUCGCGGCCUAUCAGCUUGUUGGUGUGGGUAAUGGCCCACCAGGCGACGACGGGUAGCCGGCCUGAGAGGGUGACCGGCCACACGUGGGACUGAGACGACGGCCCAGAUCCCGUAACGGGG